rnacentral:rRNA from 1 species
UGGGGAAUUUUGGACAAUGGGCGAAAGCCUGAUCCAGCAAUGCCGCGUGUGUGAAGAAGGCCUUCGGGUUGUAAAGCACUUUUGUCCGGAAAGAAAUCCUUGGCUCUAAUACAGUCGGGGGAUGACGGUACCGGAAGAAUAAGCACCGGCUAACUACGUGCCAGCAGCCGCGGUAAUACGUAGGGUGCAAGCGUUAAUCGGAAUUACUGGGCGUAAAGCGUGCGCAGGCGGUUUGCUAAGACCGAUGUGAAAUCCCCGGGCUCAACCUGGGAACUGCAUUGGUGACUGGCAGGCUAGAGUAUGGCAGAGGGGGGUAGAAUUCCACGUGUAGCAGUGAAAUGCGUAGAGAUGUGGAGGAAUACCGAUGGCGAAGGCAGCCCCCUGGGCCAAUACUGACGCUCAUGCACGAAAGCGUGGGGAGCAAACGGGAUUAGAUACCCUGGUAGUCCACGCCCUAAACGAUGUCAACUAGUUGUUGGGGAUUCAUUUCCUUAGUAACCGUAGCUAACGCGUGAAGUUGACCGCCUGGGGGAGUACGGUCGCAAGAUUAAAACUCAAAGG